rnacentral:tRNA from 1 species
GGUGGAUGUAGCUCAGUGGUAGAGCGCCAGCUUGUGGAGCUGGAUGUCGCGGGUUCGAACCCCGUCUUCCACCC